ACAUUUCCUUAAGUGAUUUAUUUAAGGUAAAUUCUGCCCUAUGAUUAAUUUUAAAUGGCUGCAGUAUUUUGACUGUACAAAGGUAGCAUAAUAAUUAGUUUUUUAAUUGGAAACUUGAAUGAAUGAAUACAUGAAGAAUUAUUUUUAUUAUAAUUAUAUUUUGAAUUUAAUUUUUUAGUUAAAAAGCUUAAUUAUUUAUUUGGGACGAUAAGACCCUAUAGAAUUUUUAAUAUUUAUUAUUUUUAUUAUUUUUAGGUUAUUUAAGUUUAAAAUUAAUUUAUAUUUUUAACUGGGGUGGUUAGUAAAUUUUAACUUUAUUUUUUUUUAUCAUUUAUUUAUGAAUUAUUGAUUUAUUUAUUAAUGAUUAAAAGAUGAAAUUACCUUAGGGAUAACAGCGUAAUUUUAAUGGAAAGAUCAUAUUUAUAUUAAAGUUUGCGACCUCGAUGUUGAAUUAAGAUUAAAAUAAGAAGCAAAUUUCUUAUAUUUUAAGUCUGUUCGACUUUUAAAUUCUUACAUGAUCUG
rnacentral:rRNA from 1 species